UAAUAGAAAUGCUAGGUUCAACUCUAAUAUGCUCAGGGGGUGUAGGUGUUCUAAUGUAGCCUCUACGUGUCACAGUUGAAGCUUUAGGAUGAUCCUUUAUCCUAACAGGGAAAGGUGGUUUCUCAAUGUAAGCACUGGGAACAACAGGAUCAUUAUAGGCAAUGACUCUCUCUUCAAAUGGAUUGGGUUUAACUACAUUGACUUCUAAAGGAGGAUGAUAUUUAAACCACUUCUCUUUGGGGAGAUCAACAUGAGCAGCAAAUGAUUCACAUAAUGAAGCUACUAUCUCACAGUCAAGUCCAUACUUACCGCU
rnacentral:lncRNA from 1 species